UACGAAGGGGGCUAGCGUUGCUCGGAAUCACUGGGCGUAAAGCGCACGUAGGCGGAUUGUUAAGUCAGGGGUGAAAUCCUGGAGCUCAACUCCAGAACUGCCUUUGAUACUGAGGAUCUUGAGUUCGGGAGAGGUGAGUGGAACUGCGAGUGUAGAGGUGAAAUUCGUAGAUAUUCGCAAGAACACCAGUGGCGAAGGCAGCGCCCUGGCCGACGACUGACGCUCAGGCACGAAAGCUGGGGGAGCAAACAGG
rnacentral:rRNA from 1 species